AUUGAACGCUGGCGGCAGGCCUAACAAAUGCAAGUCGAGCGGAGCGGCGGACGGGUGAGUAAUGCCUAGGAAUCUACCUGGUAGUGGAGGAUAACGUCCGGACACGAGCGCUAAUACCGCAUACUAUCAGAUGAGACUAGGUAUGAUUGGCUAGUUGGUGGGGUAAAGGCCUACAAAGGCGACGAACCGUAACUGGUCUGAGAGGAUGAUCAGUCACUCGGAAACUGAGAAACAGGCCAGAUUCGUACGGGAGCCAGCAGUGGGUAAUAUUGCACAAUGGGCGAAAGCCUGAUCCAGCCAUGCCGCGUGUGUGAAGAAGGUCUUCGGAUUGUAAAGCACUUUAAGUUGGGAGGCGUUACCAACAGAAUAAGCACCUUCUAACUUCGUGCCAGCAGCCGCGGUAAUAC
rnacentral:rRNA from 1 species